AAGUCGAGGGGCAGCACGUCUUCGGAUGGUGGCGACCGGCGCACGGGUGCGUAACGCGUAUAGAACUUACCUUUUACAGAGGGAUAGCCUUUAGAAAUGAAGAUUAAUACCUCAUAGUAUUAAAUUUUGGCAUCAAGAUUUAAUUAAAGAUUUAUCGGUAAAAGAUGGCUAUGCGUCCUAUUAGCUAGAUGGUGAGGUAACGGCUCACCAUGGCAACGAUAGGUAGGGGUCCUGAGAGGGAGAUCCCCCACACUGGUACUGAGACACGGACCAGACUCC
rnacentral:rRNA from 1 species